CCUGCCCCAGCACCCACGGAGCCCACUCCGGUGGUGCCCGCCCCUUGUCGGCCAGAGGGGGCGGGGCCGCGGGCGAUGGGGCGGAGCGGGCUGUGUUCUGGUCCGCUCCCGUGACGCGCUGCCCGCCAGGCUGCGGGGGUCGCGGGGCGUCCGCGUGGGCCAGCGGAGGCCCACAGCUGCGGAGGGAAACCACUGGGAGGGGAGAAGGAGCUCUAGGGAGAGCGAGGCUGCAACGAGGGGAGAGCCGGGCGACGGGCAGGGGCCCAGGCGCGCUCCCCGACUUCCCACAGGCGCGCGCAUGCCUGCGUGUCAGGGCGCGCGCUCCCCCUCUCGGACCGAGGCGACCCCAGUCCGUGAGCGGCUUGGAUCCUCGCCCGUUCCCUCCUGGUCGUUUCCGCAGUAACCUCUUAUCAGAGCGGGCAGCUGUGAGUGGCGCUCACAUCCGCCGCUGCCCUGUCGAAUGGGGGAAAGAGUUCUUGUGUUCUGAGGAGGGUUUGGCUAUGGUCCUUGACCCUAUUCUUGUCUCAGACUUGCCUCCCAGGUAUCGAGGUCUCCCUGUGGGUUUCAUAUGGCUUGGUCCUUUAGGAGCUGGAAAAAUUAGGCAUAAAGUCCCCCCACCCCCUUGACAGAACGCCCCUUCUGACUCCAGAGGUCCUUUAUCGAGUGCCAGGCAUUGGUCUAGGGGCAUUUGAAAAAGAUUCACUGAAGGACAUUUUUAAGAGUUCGCUUUCUCAGAGGGCAGCUUCUCAAACUCAUUCGCUGGUUUCUUUUCCUCUUUCCGCCUGUUUAAGGAAUAUAGGAGGAUUGUAUGCCCUGGCCUCCCUGUGAUGGGGUUGAACUACAUGACAUGUUCUCCGAAUUAAGUGUGAGCAUAGCAUUUAAUUGUUGAUGCAAGACCUUCCAGAACUCUUUUUCUCUUUGCCAUGGCAAUCAUCAGUGUUCCAGAGAGCAUAUGCACGAUCAGCCUUGGUAUUGGAGGGAAGAUGAUGCGGAACAGAGUCCCAGUCACAUCAUGAAGGACAUGUAAAAUGCUGUAGAAGAACCUCUUCUGCAAGACCAUUCAUUCAUGCCUUGAGACAGUAUGAAUCAAGCUGACUUUUUUUUUUUCCAAGGAGUUUUUAAGAACAGCUAUGCAGAGGAGGAAUGACAAGUAGAAGAGGGGAAAAGGGAAAAUAUAAACAAAAAAAACAGUACAUUUCACACAAAAGCAGAGGAACAGAAAGUGAAAUCUGAGACAGACCAUCAAGCUUCAGACCAUCAUGCAGCAAGGGCUCUAGCCAGUUCCAGGUGAAGACCCCACCCCGGGCCAUCAAGGAGCUUCCCUGCCUCCACUAGACAGAGCAGAGUGAGAGUUCCAUGAUCCCCAAUAGGUAGGGGCUAUGCCUCAAGCCAGCAUGAAGCAGUUACAGAAAAAAAGACCAUCAGUUCCUCUGCCUCCCAUGGGGAUCACAUCUUUCAGCAGGGAGAUGAGGCAUAAAAACAAGGUCUGGAGGCAGGGAAUUCAAGGCCGAUUCACACUUCAGCUAUGACAGGAAAUAUCCUCUCCAUAGGGUAUAGGCCAAGUAAAUGACUUUGUAACUUUACUCCUCAUUUUCAUAGGUUGCACCCCAAGUAAGCAAUGGAAUCCUCUAGAGGGUAUUUCCCCAAAAUUCUGUAAUGGGGUCCUUGAGCCCCUAUGCUCGGGCCCACUCCCACACUGUGGAGUGUACUUUCAUUUUCAAUAAAUCCCUCAUUUCUUCCUUGCUCUGUUUGUGCAUUUUGUCCAAUUCUUUGUUCAAGACGCCAAGAACCUGGACACCCUCCACCGGUGACAAUGGCAGAAGGUGAAGGGGAAGCAAGCACAUCUUACCAUGGCGGAUCAGGAGAGAGAAAAGAAGGAGAGUGAGGGGAGAAGUGCCGCACACUUUCAAACAACCAGAUCUCCU
rnacentral:lncRNA from 1 species